rnacentral:lncRNA from 1 species
AUAGAAGGAAACUAAAUAUUUUUGCUUCAGUAAAUAUGAGUACAAAUCAUCAUUUCAAUAGUCUUGUUCUGGGGAGAGACUGAUUAACCCAGUCUAAUAAAGCACUUCAACAGCUGUUUAAUUUUUAGCAUAGGACCUCCCAGGAUCAGAAUGCCAGCAUGUCUGAGCUACCUCUGAACUUCUCUAUUUUAUGCUUCUUGAAUUAUAUUGC